rnacentral:rRNA from 1 species
UACGUAGGUGGCAAGCGUUGUCCGGAAUUAUUGGGCGUAAAGCGCGCGCAGGCGGCCUCUUAAGUCUGAUGUGAAAUCUUGCGGCUCAACCGCAAGCGGCCAUUGGAAACUGGGGGGCUUGAGUACAGAAGAGGAGAGUGGAAUUCCACGUGUAGCGGUGAAAUGCGUAGAUAUGUGGAGGAACACCAGUGGCGAAGGCGACUCUCUGGUCUGUGACUGACGCUGAGGCGCGAAAGCGUGGGGAGCGAACAGG